UGUUAUUUAUCUCUCUCCUCUCUCCAAAUUCUCUCAUCCUCUCUUUUACAGAACUUUCAUCUUCACCGUUUGCAUGUAUUCGGAUUUUCACCGGACAGAGGAAUAAGAAAAUGUUUCGAAAAAAGAAGAUGAUUGGUUCAAAUAUAUUUGACCCUAAGACAGAGAUGGACUCGAUUUUCUCUCACCAUGGUUCAUCUCCAAAUGGUGAUUUCGGUUCUGAUUUCAACCUCAGGAACUUCUCAUCGAAAUCAUAGGUGGGCCGUCGGAUUCUAAGUCCUAUGGUGAAGGUUGCACGAGGAUUCUCAUUCGCUCCCACCGACUCUGUAUCCCAGAUCCUCUCGCCUACUUCAAGGGUCUAUAGCUGGAGGGUCCAAAGGCUUGUAAAGUACCAGUUUCCAGCAAAAAUCUUAUAAACAUUACAGAGAGGACUAGACCAGUUUCAGCCAAGGUCUAUAACCGUUGGUGGCAUUUCAGUUCCCAGCAAAGAUCUUAUAGGUACUUCCAAGAGGACCAGACCAAAAUUUAUAUCAAUAACAAGUUUUAGUUUAGCCGUUUUUAUCUAGAGAUAUUCCCUCAGGUGCUUUCGGUUGUAAAGCAUAAAUAUGUGAUUAAUUAACUGGCUCCAAAUGUAUUUAUCCAAUCAUAGUAUAGUUUAGCUU